CUGGAAAAGAGACGAGGCUUUGCUUUGAACCCUGUUGCAAACUUCCACCUUGCAAAUGGAGCUGUACUUUGGCGCAUCAACUUUCUUGCGGACACAUCUAUUCGAGGUUUGAACCAAUCUUGCGGACUUAUGGUUAACUACCGAUACUACCUUGAUAAAGCUGAAACCAACAGCCAAGAGUAUCUUCUACACCAACGGAUAUCUGCAUCGAAUGAUGUUUUGGACUUAAUUGGCUCUGACACCACCACCUUCAAAACAAUUGCAACCCCAGCAAGACAGAAUUCGGCAUCAUCAUCUCCUUUCAGAGAAAGUGGAAGUGAAUGAUGAAUAACUGCUGCUAGAAGUCCUUUAAAAUGGCAUAAUAUGCUCAAAAACAGAUAUUUUAAUUUAUCCAAGCAUAUGCAUGUUAAUUUUGCAAAACCAGAGACCAGAGAAUAAGAACCGGUUGUUGUUACUCCUUUCCCUAUUGGACAACAGUGUUUUAUAUAUAGACAGCACAUGAUUGGUAGAUGGCCGUACAAGUGUUCGACAAUUGUGUUAGAGAGAUGAGAGUGAAAGACUAUGAUUAAGCACUCAGAGGAAACUUACAAAUAAAAUUUCACUGCAUCGAUCAGAGCCAUUAAAAGAAUUUCGUAAGUUGAAA